AAGUCGUGUUGAGGGAAAUGUCGUAGCAAUCUCUUAUAAUGCUUCCAAGCUUCGUAUAACGACUCUCCCUAUAAUUGUUGAAAAUUUUGGAUAUUUCUUUUAAGCUU